rnacentral:rRNA from 1 species
GAUGAACGCUAGCGGCAGGCUUAACACAUGCAAGUCGAGGGGCAGCAUAAUGGAUAGCAAUAUCUAUGGUGGCGACCGGCGCACGGGUGCGUAACGCGUAUGCAACCUACCUUUAACAGGGGGAUAACACUGAGAAAUUGGUACUAAUACCCCAUAAUAUCAUAGAAGGCAUCUUUUAUGGUUGAAAAUUCCGAUGGUUAGAGAUGGGCAUGCGUUGUA